UACGGGGGGGGCAAGCGUUGUUCGGAAUUACUGGGCGUAAAGGGCUCGUAGGUGGCCAACUAAGUCAGACGUGAAAUCCCUCGGCUCAACUGAGGAACUGCCUUUGAAACUGUCGGGCUUGAGGCCGGGAGGGGGUAGCGGAAUUCCCAGUGUAGCGGUGAAAUGCGUAGAUAUUGGGAGGAACACCAGUGGCGAAGGCGGCUACCUGGACCGGUUCUGACGCUGAUGCGCGAAAGCGUGGGUAGCAAACAGG
rnacentral:rRNA from 1 species